GGGAGAAGCUGAUUGCCUGUGAUGCUGAUCAACCCCACACCUUCCUGGGUGAGGACUGGACAUUGUGAACAACACUGUCCUUGGUCAGAAAGGAAUGAGGGACAUGACAACAGGUACAGCACAACGACCUGGAGAGUGGGAAACUGACGGGAUAUGUGGGAUCGGACAAUGAUGGGGAAAUCGUACUUCUUCCUGUCACUUCUCCAAGCUGCAGUAUCAACGGAGUGGACAAUCAACGUUCAAUUAUAUGUGACAGCACAGAGGGGUCUGUGUGC